GACGAACGCUGGCGGCGUGCCUAAUACAUGCAAGUUGAGCGCUGAAGGUUGGUACUUGUACCAACUGGAUGAGCAGCGAACGGGUGAGUAACGCGUGGGGAAUCUGCCUUUGAGCGGGGGACAACAUUUGGAAACGAAUGCUAAUACCGCAUAAAAACUUUAAACACAAGUUUUAAGUUUGAAAGAUGCAAUUGCAUCACUCAAAGAUGAUCCCGCGUUGUAUUAGCUAGUUGGUGAGGUAAAGGCUCACCAAGGCGAUGAUACAUAGCCGACCUGAGAGGGUGAUCGGCCACAUUGGGACUGGGACACGGCCCAAACUCCUACGGGAGGCAGCAGUAGGGAAUCUUCGGCAAUGGACGAAAGGCUGAACGAGCAACGCCGCGUGAGGGAAGAAGGGUUUCGGAUCGUAAAACUCUGUUGGUAGAGAAGAACGUUGGUGAGAGUGGAAAGCUCAUCAAGUGACGGUAACUACCCAGAAAGGGACGGCUAACUACGUG
rnacentral:rRNA from 1 species